rnacentral:rRNA from 1 species
GUAGGUGGCAAGCGUUGUCCGGAAUUAUUGGGCGUAAAGCGCGCGCAGGCGGUUCUUUAAGUCUGAUGUGAAAGCCCACGGCUCAACCGUGGAGGGUCAUUGGAAACUGGAGAACUUGAGUACAGAAGAGGAAAGCGGAAUUCCACGUGUAGCGGUGAAAUGCGUAGAGAUGUGGAGGAACACCAGUGGCGAAGGCGGCUUUCUGGUCUGUAACUGACGCUGAGGCGCGAAAGCGUGGGGAGCAAACAGGGAUUAGAUACCCUGGUAGUCCACGCCGUAAACGAUGAGUGCUAAGUGUUAGGGGGUUUCCGCCCCCUUAGUGCUGCGGCUAACGCAUUAAGCACUCCGCCUGGGGAUACGGCCGCAAGGCUA